rnacentral:rRNA from 1 species
GUAGGGUGCGAGCGUUAAUCGGAAUUACUGGGCGUAAAGCGUGCGCAGGCGGUUUUGAAAGUCAGAUGUGAAAUCCCCGAGCUCAACUUGGGAACUGCGUUUGAAACUCCAAAGCUAGAGUAUAGGAGAGGGGGGUAGAAUUCCACGUGUAGCAGUGAAAUGCGUAGAGAUGUGGAGGAAUACCAAUGGCGAAGGCAGCCCCCUGGCCUAAUACUGACGCUCAUGCACGAAAGCGUGGGGAGCAAACAGGAUUAGAUACCCUGGUAGUCCACGCCCUAAACGAUGUCUACUAGUUGUUGGUGGAGUAAAAUCCAUUAGUAACGCAGCUAACGCGUGAAGUAGACCGCCUGGGGAGUACGGUCGCAAGAUUA